rnacentral:rRNA from 1 species
GGAUCCAGACUUUGAUCCUGGCUCAGGAUGAACGCUAGCUACAGGCUUAACACAUGCAAGUCGAGGGGAAACGAUAGAGAAAGCUUGCUUUCUCUAGGCGUCGACCGGCGCACGGGUGAGUAACGCGUAUCCAACCUGCCCAUCACUUGGGGAUAACCUUGCGAAAGUAAGACUAAUACCCAAUGACGUCCAUAGAAGACAUCUGAAAUGGAUUAAAGAUUUAUCGGUGAUGGAUGGGGAUGCGUCUGAUUAGCUUGUUGGCGGGGUAACGGCCCACCAAGGCGACGAUCAGUAGGGGUUCUGAGAGGAAGGUCCCCCACAUUGGAACUGAGACACGGUCCAAACUCCUACGGGAGGCAGCAGUGAGGAAUAUUGGUCAAUGGGCGAGAGCCUGAACCAGCCAAGUAGCGUGCAGGAUGACGGCCCUAUGGGUUGUAAACUGCUUUUAUAAGGGAAUAAAGUGAGUCUCGUGAGACUUUUUGCAUGUACCUUAUGAAUAAGGACCGGCUAAUUCCGUGCCAGCAGCCGCGGUAAUACGGAAGGUCCGGGCGUUAUCCGGAUUUAUUGGGUUUAAAGGGAGCGUAGGCCGGAGAUUAAGCGUGUUGUGAAAUGUAGAUGCUCAACGUCUGCACUGCAGCGCGAACUGGUUUCCUUGAGUACGCACAAAGUGGGCGGAAUUCGUGGUGUAGCGGUGAAAUGCUUAGAUAUCACGAAGAACUCCGAUUGCGAAGGCAGCUCACUGGAGCGCAACUGACGCUGAAGCUCGAAAGUGCGGGUAUCGAACAGGAUUAGAUACCCUGGUAGUCCGCACGGUAAACGAUGGAUGCCCGCUGUUGGUCUGAAUAGGUCAGCGGCCAAGCGAAAGCAUUAAGCAUCCCACCUGGGGAGUACGCCGGCAACGGUGCAACUCAAAUGAAUUGACGG